AAAAAGCCCAUUUCUAUUAGCCAAAAAGCUACGCCACUAUCUUUCGCUAGCACGAUGCGAUGCGUUCUUUAGACUUUGUCUAGCUAAGGAAAGGUACAGCACGUGUUGUUCGGCUUGGUUGCGCAGUAAAUUUGUUUACGCCGCUGCCAAAGCAACGGUAUCGAUCGCCCCGAUUUGCAUAUAAACAGUGCCGUUGCGUUAAUUCUUAUAUUUGUGUUCUGUGCUCUAAAAUUAAAAUUAAAAAAAGGCGCGCUACUGUCGCUAAUCGCGCGUUAUUAGGGGACAAAACUUGGCGCAGCUUUGAAACAGAUGGUGUACCUUUCCUUAGCUAGACAAACUUUACGUCGGAAGAAUCUUUACGUCGCGUCGGCAGGCCCCAGAACGGUCGGAAGGAGAACAUCACGAAAUGUGUAAGCGCGGGUCACUCCAGACGCCUCCUAACUUCCGUGCUCCCAUACAAGCACAGAACACAAAGAGGAAAAUAGAAAAAAAACAUAAAUGGGGAUUUGCGCCACGGGAAAGGUUCGGAUCGCGUCCACUUUGGCGCUAGUAACACUGUCCCAUUUUAUUAUGUUUUCUAUUUUGACUGACAGAUGGCAGCACUAUAUGCAAAAAAGUGUGCUUACUUUUCGUUUCCUGGUAGUUGGCUGGGAAUUACAGAAAACAUUUAGAAUUCAUAUUUUUGUGCGAAUUUAUGAUAUUUAUCCGCAUAAUAGAUCUUCUUUUUAUGUGAUUAGUGAUUAGUUUCUUAUUAUAUACUGUUGUGACAAUUUGUGUUGUGUUUUAUUAUUAAAAAAAAACAAACUAAAAUGACAUUAUAGAAUAGAUUAUCGUGCUGUAACCUGUGGUAAAUUUCCAGAUUAGGGUUGCAAUCUACAAAACUAUUAUUUGUUUAAUAAAGACCUAGUUUUCAGGUAAGAUUCUAUAUACUCUCUUUUAUUUUAAUAUUUAGGUUUUAAAAUUUUAGUUUCUCUAUAAAUAAUCAUGUUUUCUACUGCUCCACAGUCACACCCAAAAAAUGUUGUGUAGCUGGGUGUCUGAAUCAGGAUGGUAAGAGGCAUAGAUUUCCAAAAAAUGACCCAGAAAUAUACAAUGUAUGGAUUUCCAUUAUUAAUCCACCUAAUUAUCAUUGUUUAUCCUUGGAACAAAUCAACAAAUCUAUAAUCGUUUUUAUGUUUGCGAUUGUCACUUUAAAGAGUACUGCAAAGUGCCAACCAGUAAGAGAGGACUCAAAUGAGCAGCAAUACCUACUCUUAACAUUGAAGGGUAUGGUGCUUAUAACGCUAAGCUAUUAUUAAGCAAUAAAGGACAUAAUAAAUGGCAUAUAUUAUGCAAAAGAACCUAUCAGCCAAACUAAUGUGGUAGAAAAUAACUUAGAGGUACCUAUGGAAAUAGCUGAUGAGAAAUCCUCAUAUGCUUUAAAUCAAAAAGAUAUUUCAGAAAAUACCUCAUCUUUUAUGGAAAUAAUUGCUAUAAUAGAAAAUUCUAACAAUCAAAUAGAUAUUGAAAAAGUACCAUUACAAAUUGUACCUAAUGCCUCAAGGAAAAAGGAAUCUGCUAAGAAACGUCUUGAAAACAGAAGGUUUUCAUUCAAAAGUUUAAAUGUUCAUCGUUCCAUUGAGUUGACACCAAAGGCCAAAAAAUUAUAUACCAAAUUAACAUCUUGGAGGAGUGAAAUAUAUGGAAUGGAAAAAAAAAUUAAAUCUUACAAAGAGAGAAUAGGUAUUGCCGAAAAAUAUGUCAAUUCUAGAGAUUUUAAAAACCUCUUAAAACAUAUUAAUAGUUCUACUUACAAGUUCAUUAUAAAAUAAUAUAUAUUAUUAUAUCUAUCUUCACCAAUAAUAAAUUAUUAUUUGUGAAAUCACAGAAACGUACAUGUAUCAGAGACAACUGUUUUUCCUGCAUGUAUGUUAUUUGGUACUAUGUUAUGUAUUUGGCAUAGACAUAAUGCAAAAUAGACAAUACUUUCAAAAGGUCGCCAAGAAAUGAUAAGUCGAAA